GAAAUUGCAUUAGGGCAUUGACAAGGACGUUGAUUAAACAAUGCUACAUCCAGUUUACAGUGUGCCCCUGAAGAGGCGUGAUUAUUGCCUUCCGAUCGGCCUAUAUAUUGGGGAAGUAGCAGGGAUUCAGUAAUAGCUGAAACCGAAAGCUGAACGUUUUGGGCGAUCUGUUUUAGAUUUGGAGGUUUUUCGACGAUGGCGCUAGCUAAAGGGAAAUGGUUCAAGCUGGAGCAAAACAAUGCCGGGCCGGGGGCAAGAAGCUCGCAUGCAAUUGCGAUAGUCGGGGACAAGGUGUACGCCUUUGGUGGUGAGUUUGCACCGAGAGUCCCAGUUGAUAACCACUUAUACAUGUUCGAUCUCAAUGAUCAAACAUGGUCGGUGGCUGAUGCCAAGGGGGAUGUUCCUCCACCACGUGUAGGUGUUACUAUGGCGUCCAUUGGCGAGCACAUCUAUGUGUUCGGUGGCCGGGAUGGCGAGCACAAGGAAUUGAAUGAGUUCUAUUCGUUUGACACAGUUACAAGUACAUGGUCGUUGCUUUCAUCAGGUCCACCUCAUCGAAGCUACCACUCCAUGACUGCGGAUGAGAGACGAAUAUACAUUUUUGGUGGGUGUGGAAACACGGGACGCCUCAAUGAUUUGUGGGGUUAUGAUAUUGUCGACGAAAAAUGGAUUAACUACCCUUUCCCGGGCGAGCGUUGCAAGCCUAGAGGUGGGCCGGGGUUGGCUGCUGUACUAGGCAAAAUAUGGGUUGUCUACGGGUUCUCUGGCGAAGAGGAGGACGACGUGCAUUACUUUGAUCUUGGUGAAGAAAAAUGGGUUGAGGUCGAAAGUAAGGGCGAUAAACCAUCUGCUCGGAGCGUGUUCUCUACUGCUGGGAUCGGGAAGUACAUUUUUAUCUAUGGUGGGGAGAUCGAUCCGAGUGAUUUAGGACACAUGGGGGCCGGUAAAUUUUCCGGGGAAAUUUAUGCAUUGGAUGUAGAGACAUUGGAUUGGACAAGAUGGGGAGAUGAAUCCGAGUCUGGUCACCACCCGGGGCCUAGGGGAUGGUGCGCCUUUGGGGCAGUCCGGCGAGGCGGGCGCGAGGGGUUGCUCGUGUAUGGUGGCAACUCGCCGAGCAACGAUAGACUUGGAGACAUUUUCUUGUUUGUUCCAUGGUUUUGAUCGUGAUGCAAGAUGAAUCAACGGUCGGGGUUAGAACGAAGGAAAUUGUUGAAGGAAAAAUAAAGUGGACCACUUUUCUCCCAUUCCAUCGCAAGACGGUUUGUUUUUUUUUAAUUAUAAAUACUUUCACAUAUGAGUUACUAAAUUUACUCUAAAAAAUUAGAACACACCUAUCGCUACCAUCGCUAUUUAAGAGCCAGGGUUUGACAACAUUUUCCUAAGGGUUCCAGGGUUUGGCAACAAUAUCUUCCAGCGGUUCCAACCUACCGUCUGCUUGAAGAAGAAGAUCUCAAGAAUAUAUUUAAAUUUUAGCAAUGGCGGGAGGUUUGUUAAUUAUCAUAUUCACGUAUUUUAAAAAUUGUAUGACACUCCUUUAUACUUUUAAAAAAUGUUGCAUGAAAUCUCACCCCAUGAAACCUCAGUUGUGUGAUGGGAU